ensembl:snRNA U6 U6 spliceosomal RNA
GUGCUUGCUUGGGCAGCACAUAUGCUAAAAUUGGAAUAAGAAGAUUAGCAUGGCCCCUGCACAAGGAUGACAUGCAAAUUUGUAAAGUGUUCCAUAUUUGU